AUUGAACGCUGGCGGCAGGCCUAACACAUGCAAGUCGAACGGUAACAGGAAACAGCUUGCUGUUUCGCUGACGAGUGGCGGACGGGUGAGUAAUGUCUGGGAAACUGCCUGAUGGAGGGGGAUAACUACUGGAAACGGUAGCUAAUACCGCAUAACGUCGCAAGACCAAAGAGGGGGACCCUCGGGCCUCUUGCCAUCGGAUGUGCCCAGAUGGGAUUAGCUUGUUGGUGGGGUAACGGCUCACCAAGGCGACGAUCCCUAGCUGGUCUGAGAGGAUGACCAGCCACACUGGAACUGAGACACGGUCCAGACUCCUACGGGAGGCAGCAGUGGGGAAUAUUGCACAAUGGGCGCAAGCCUGAUGCAGCCAUGCCGCGUGUAUGAAGAAGGCCUUCGGGUUGUAAAGUACUUUCAGCGGGGAGGAAGGGAGUAAAGUUAAUACCUUUGCUCAUUGACGUUACCCGCAGAAGAAGCACCGGCUAACUCCGUGCCAGCGGCCGCGGUAAUACGGAGGGUGCAAGCGUUAAUCGGAAUUACUGGGCGUAAAGCGCACGCAGGCGGUUUGUUAAGUCAGAUGUGAAAUCCCCGGGCUCAACCUGGGAACUGCAUCUGAUACUGGCAAGCUUGAGUCUCGUAGAGGGGGGUAGAAUUCCAGGUGUAGCGGUGAAAUGCGUAGAGAUCUGGAGGAAUACCGGUGGCGAAGGCGGCCCCCUGGACGAAGACUGACGCUCAGGUGCGAAAGCGUGGGGAGCAAACAGGAUUAGAUACCCUGGUAGUCCACGCCGUAAACGAUGUCGACUUGGAGGUUGUGCCCUUGAGGCGUGGCUUCCGGAGCUAACGCGUUAAGUCGACCGCCUGGGGAGUACGGCCGCAAGGUUAAAACUCAAAUGAAUUGACGGGGGCCCUCACAAGCGGUGGAGCAUGUGGUUUAAUUCGAUGCAACGCGAAGAACCUUACCUGGUCUUGACAUCCACGGAAGUUUUCAGAGAUGAGAAUGUGCCUUCGGGAACCGUGAGACAGGUGCUGCAUGGCUGUCGUCAGCUCGUGUUGUGAGAUGUUGGGUUAAGUCCCGCAACGAGCGCAACCCUUAUCCUUUGUUGCCAGCGGUCCGGCCGGGAACUCAAAGGAGACUGCCAGUGAUAAACUGGAGGAAGGUGGGGAUGACGUCAAGUCAUCAUGGCCCUUACGACCAGGGCUACACACGUGCUACAAUGGCGCAUACAAAGAGAAGCGACCUCGCGAGAGCAAGCGGACCUCAUAAAGUGCGUCGUAGUCCGGAUUGGAGUCUGCAACUCGACUCCAUGAAGUCGGAAUCGCUAGUAAUCGUGGAUCAGAAUGCCACGGUGAAUACGUUCCCGGGCCU
rnacentral:rRNA from 1 species